CCUACGUGAGGCAGCAGUGAGGAAUAUUGGUCAAUGGGCGCGAGCCUGAACCAGCCAAGUAGCGUGAAGGAUGACUGCCCUACGGGUUGUAAACUUCUUUUAUCAAGGAAUAAAGUGAGGCACGUGUGCCUUUUUUUAUGUACUUUAUGAAUAAGGCUCGGCUAAAUCCGUGCCAGCCGCCGCGGUAAUACGGAGGAUCCGAGCGUUAUACGGAUUUAUUGGGUUUAAAGGGAGCGGAGAUGGGUUGUUAAGUCAGUUGUGAAAGUUUGCGGCUCAACCGUAAAAUUGCAAUUGAUACUGGCAGUCUUGAGUACAGUUGAGGGAGGCGGAAUUCGUGGGGUAGCGGUGAAAUGCUUAGAUAUCACGAAGAACUCCGAUGGCGAAGGCAGCUUAUUAAACUGCCACUGACAUUGAUGCUCGAAAGUGUGGGUAUCAAACAGGAUUAGAUACCCCGGUAGUC
rnacentral:rRNA from 1 species